GACGAACGCUGGCGGCGUGCCUAAUACAUGCAAGUCGAGCGAAGUUUUUCUGGUGCUUGCACUAGAAAAACUUAGCGGCGCACGUGUGAGUAACACGUAAAGAACCUGCCUCAUAGACUGGGACAACUAUUGGAAACGAUAGCUAAUACCGGAUAACAGCAUUAACUGCAUGGUUGAUGUUUAAAAGUUGGUUUCGCUAACACUAUGAGAUGGCUUUGCGGUGCAUUAGCUAGUUGGUGGGGUAAAGGCCUACCAAGGCGACGAUGCAUAGCCGACCUGAGAGGGUGAUCGGCCACACUGGGACUGAGACACGGCCCAGACUCAUACGGGAGGCGGCAGUAGGGAAUCUUCCGCAAUGGGCGAAAGCCUGACGGAGCAACGCCGCGUGAGUGAAGAAGGAUUUCGGUUCGUAAAGCUCUGUUGUUAGGGAAGAAUGAUUGUGUAGUAACUAUACACAGUAGAGACGGUACCUAACCAGAAAGCCACGGCUAACUACGUG
rnacentral:rRNA from 1 species